GGUUAAGCGACUAAGCGUACACGGUGGAUGCCCUGGCAGUCAGAGGCGAUGAAGGACGUGCUAAUCUGCGAUAAGCGUCGGUAAGGUGAUAUGAACCGUUAUAACCGGCGAUUUCCGAAUGGGGAAACCCAGUGUGUUUCGACACACUAUCAUUAACUGAAUCCAUAGGUUAAUGAGGCGAACCGGGGGAACUGAAACAUCUAAGUACCCCGAGGAAAAGAAAUCAACCGAGAUUCCCCCAGUAGCGGCGAGCGAACGGGGAGCAGCCCAGAGCCUGAAUCAGUGUGUGUGUUAGUGGAAGCGUCUGGAAAGGCGCGCGAUACAGGGUGACAGCCCCGUACACAAAAAUGCACAUGCUGUGAGCUCGAUGAGUAGGGCGGGACACGUGGUAUCCUGUCUGAAUAUGGGGGGACCAUCCUCCAAGGCUAAAUACUCCUGACUGACCGAUAGUGAACCAGUACCGUGAGGGAAAGGCGAAAAGAACCCCGGCGAGGGGAGUGAAAAAGAACCUGAAACCGUGUACGUACAAGCAGUGGGAGCACGCUUAGGCGUGUGACUGCGUACCUUUUGUAUAAUGGGUCAGCGACUUAUAUUCUGUAGCAAGGUUAACCGAAUAGGGGAGCCGAAGGGAAACCGAGUCUUAACUGGGCGUUAAGUUGCAGGGUAUAGACCCGAAACCCGGUGAUCUAGCCAUGGGCAGGUUGAAGGUUGGGUAACACUAACUGGAGGACCGAACCGACUAAUGUUGAAAAAUUAGCGGAUGACUUGUGGCUGGGGGUGAAAGGCCAAUCAAACCGGGAGAUAGCUGGUUCUCCCCGAAAGCUAUUUAGGUAGCGCCUCGUGAAUUCAUCUCCGGGGGUAGAGCACUGUUUCGGCAAGGGGGUCAUCCCGACUUACCAACCCGAUGCAAACUGCGAAUACCGGAGAAUGUUAUCACGGGAGACACACGGCGGGUGCUAACGUCCGUCGUGAAGAGGGAAACAACCCAGACCGCCAGCUAAGGUCCCAAAGUCAUGGUUAAGUGGGAAACGAUGUGGGAAGGCCCAGACAGCCAGGAUGUUGGCUUAGAAGCAGCCAUCAUUUAAAGAAAGCGUAAUAGCUCACUGGUCGAGUCGGCCUGCGCGGAAGAUGUAACGGGGCUAAACCAUGCACCGAAGCUGCGGCAGCGACGCUGAUGCGUUGUUGGGUAGGGGAGCGUUCUGUAAGCCUGCGAAGGUGUGCUGUGAGGCAUGCUGGAGGUAUCAGAAGUGCGAAUGCUGACAUAAGUAACGAUAAAGC
rnacentral:rRNA from 1 species